AUGACAUUUUCGGGGAAGAGGCCGGCAUCACUGCCGUCGAUGCUGGGGAAGAUGCCGCCGCUGUUGGCUGCGCUGUGGCUGUGGCUGCCACUGCUGCGCUGUCGGACGCUGUGCUAUGGAUGCGGUUGCUGUAGUUGUUGCUGCCGCUGUCAGACGCGAAUUUGCCGAAAGGAAAUUUGUUGCCAGAGGAGAUUAGCCGCCAUUGCCAGCGAAGAUGCCGCCCUUGCCAAUGCCGUUGCCGACGUAGAUGCCGCCCUUGCCGACGAAGAUGCGGCCCUUGCCGACACCGUUGCCGAUGCCGUUGCCAGCGAAGAUUCCGCCCUUGCCGUCGAAGAUGCCGCCAUCGUUGCCAACAAAGAUGGUGCCAUCGUCGUCGACGAACAUGGUGCCAUCAUUGCCUGCAGCACUGCUGAUGCCGCUAUUGUAUCUGCUGCCGCCGCUGUCAGCCACAAAGUUGCUGGAGGGAAAUUUGCCAGAGGAGAAGACUUUGCCGGCAAAGGUGCCACCAUUGCUGGCGCCAUUGCCAGCGCCAUUGCCGGCGAAGAUUCCGCCUUUGCGGGCCCCCUUGCCGGUGAAGAUCACGCCCUUGCCAGCGAAGAGGCCACCGUCGUUGCCGGCGAAGAUGCCGCCAUCAUUGCCGGCGAAGAUGCCGCCGGCAUUGCCGGCAAAGAUGCCGCCGUCAUUGCCAGCAAAGAUGCCGCCAUCAUUGCCGGUGCCAAUGCCUGCGAAGAUGCCCCCAUCAUUACCGGCGCCAAUUCCUGCAAAGAUGCCGGCACCAUCUGCCGCGAUGCGCCUGCCGUUGUUCUGGGUGCUGGCGCCAUCGGCAGCAGUCCUGCUGCGGAUGGUGUGGAGGCCGCCUGCUGGGAAGGAGAAGUGAAAGGAAUUGAGUGAUGUUCUCUACAUUGACAGAUUGCUGCAGAAAUUCACAGCUAUUAAAAAAAAAAAAAAAAAUAGAUAAAUUAAAAAGAUGAAAAAAAAUUGUAUCAAACUUCAGAUACACCAAUAUACUUA
rnacentral:lncRNA from 1 species